UAGCUCAGUGGCACAGCACCUGCCUGGCAAACAUGAGGCCUGAGUUUGAUUCUCAG
rnacentral:tRNA from 1 species